CUGUAAUUCAUUUAGAGAUACAUUUAGUAUGUGGUUUAAGGAGGAACUCAAAGGUAAUUUUUUCCCAAAUUCAAAACCAACACAAAUUUUUGACAAGUUCUUCCCUUCCUAUAUCUGUCGAGUGUUGAAUCCUAACACGCAAGCACACACACACCACACCCUCCACACGUUUCCUCUCUCCUGGCUGUCUCUGGUUUUCUUUCUAGCUGCCCGUUUCCUUACCUGGACCUCUUACUUUUGUGAUGUAGCACUUAUCCCCUGCCUUGCAACCAGUGUCGAUUGUCUCAUUUAGAUAAUUCUCUAGAUCAGCUUCUCCCAAACUGUGUUUUGACGAAUUCUCUGCAACAUACAGUGCAAAAAUCCUGUCACAUCUCUUGUUUCUCCAACUUAAACUUAAUAAUAGAUCAAAUUGCCACUUUCCAUGUUUAACCAAGAAUGCUGGGCGUAGUUCAGUCUAAAAGAUCUGUGCCUGUGGCACCCAUCUUAAUUUCACAACGAGGUUGGGAGGCCAGUUGACUGCUCAGUCAUGCAAAUGGAUUCUCUCUUCUCCUCUGUGAACACAGAAGUCUUAAGCAUCUUGAGACUGGAUAAGGUCACAAAUGGCUUUCUUCCACCAUUACACUGGGACCACGAGUGAUAACUCUCCACACGCUGUCAAACCAAGAGAGCCACUCUGGACAGUGUCUGUAAGACAAACACACUGUUCCUACAUCUAUUGUAGUGUUUAAUAGUUUGUUUUGUUAAUUUGCCUUUUUAUAAGUCUGGCUUCCCCAACAUCAUUUGAGUUGCUGGAGGGCAAGAAACAUAUCCUUCAUUCUGCGUCUGCAGUGUGGAGCACAGGAUCUAUCACGUGGUUGAGGCUUAAUUACUAUUCAUUAGUGAGAGAUUUACUUUCCUAAGCCCCACCCUCUCCCCCAAACCAACCUCCACCAACCAGCCAGUUGACCAACCAUCACACCGUCAACUAGAAGCGGUGGCAUAGUUGUCAAGACAGUUUCCCAAAUUUACUUAACUCAGUCGUGUUUGUAUGCAGUCAGGCUGUUUCAAUAAUUGGAUCUAAAUUCUGUGGCAAAUCCAGAACUGAAUCAGACAUGAUUCCCCUCCUCAGGGACCUCAGAAUUCCUAAAGAUGGAUGACACAUUAGCUUAAAUAUAUUCAGAGGGAAACUGAUGGGUGCCACACAAGCUGUGUAUCAGGAGGGAGAGGAGAGGGGAGGAGAAUAAUCUCUUUCCCCAUUAACCUUUGGGCAUAAGAAACACCAUAAUUUUGGUCCUAUUAAAGGCUGCCGCAUGAUUAAUAUUUCCAUCUAAGAAGCAAUUAAGGAAUUAUUAUCCAGGGAGGUUGUGACAAAAGGAAUUAAAGCACGCCAGCUCUGUUCAGGCAGAAUAAGGCUCAGCUUUGAGUAUUGAAAAUUAAGUCUAUUUAGACUCUAAAGGCUUACAUUUUGUCCUUAACUUUUGCUCAGAUGCUGUAUGGGAACCACUGCGUGGAUAAGUAAUAAAUUAUCUGGAACUACUUAGCGAAUACAGUCUAUGGUGCUAAAUGGAAUACGUUAUAAUCACGGUGUGAUAAUCAGAAUAAUAAGAAUUUAACGUGUAGCAGACUCCAAGGGCCAACAAUCUGUUUUAGUCCAUUAAAGCACUUGCAUUUUGGGAUAGAAAACUGUAUUUUCCAGUGUUACAGGAGGUGCUUAAUUAUUUCCAACCAUUAUUGAAAUAGUGGCGGAAUCAUCUUGCCUCAGUGCUGUAAUCAUAUUGUGUUCACAAGUGCAUCUAAUUAUAAACAUUUUAUCGGAAAAUUUUGCAAACCCAGUUGUUUUUUUUAAGGUGCUAAAUGGAAAGGCUUUCUCCAAUGCCUGUAAAACAACUUUUAAAAAAAUACAGAAGACAUAACUCAAAAAUAGGUACGUCUCCCAUGCCCACAGAUUCAUGGAAGGGUAGAGUAGUGGGAAAUUUUUCCUUUACCCAGGAGAAGAGAGUGGCCUGAGAGUAGAGUUGGGAGCAAAACCUGUCCUUCCUUAUCUUCUGCUGAGGGCUUGGAAGCCUAUAUGGUAUUGUCUUUAGUGGAUUUUUUUUUAAUGGAAGGAGUGGGAUUUUUAUGUCCCACUUUGAGAAAUGGAGACACGGAGGCGGCCUGUCAUGAAACAACUCAGCUGAGCCAUGUAGGUAGUACAUGGUAGGUCUCUGAUUACAGUCAGAGUCUUUUUGCUGCUGUUUCCUCCAUGGCACCUGGCUUGGAGCUGGGCUCCUCCAGCGACACUGUCCUCUGCUGUAGCAUCAGGGUUUCCUAACUGGUGUCUCUCCACACCUUCAAAGAGGUCCGUGCUCCUCCUGGAAGCACCAGAGUCUGUCAGGAAGGGACCUGGAUGUUCCUGUGGGCCUAGUUAGGGUGGGUUCAUUACGAGAAUCGACCUCAAUUUAACAAAUGUUUAUUCAACACUUACCAUAUGCCAGGCACUGCUCUAGAAGCUGGAGACAACAAAUAAAACGAAAACCUUCUCUCAAAGAGCUCACAGUCUAGAAUAGAGAUGGGCCAGGAGGAGCAAAGAGGAGAGGGUUACAGCAGGUCCUUGGUCUUGGAAGACGUCCUCAAGAAUGAAGGAGUCUUAUUCCACACUUUAGAUGAAAAGUUUCUUUGCUCUGAAUUUCUGGAUUUCCACAGAUCCCAGUGAAGCGACAUUCUACUCAUGCCUUUCGUCCACCAGCUUCACAAAAUACCUGCUUGUCUACACUAGCCAUUUCUCUCAGCCCUUUUCAGAAAUUUUCCAUAUGAUUAACGCGACAUUUAAAAACCUCCAUUUUGGGUAGGUUUGCAGGAGAUUCCACACAGCUGGAGCUGUCACUGGGUCAUGCUGAGUGAUGAAUUAGCCAGAACGCAGCUCUGGAAAUGCUGUCACUUUCCUCCAUUGCUGCAGGAGACAUGGAUGCGUCCCUACAUCAUUGAUGCUCCCAGUAACACUCGAGGUCGACAACAGAGCUCUGCGUACAGAUAACCCUCCUGAGGUGAGCCCUGGGACACUCGAGGGGCAGCAGAUACGCAUGGAGCUCCUCACAAAAGAGCGAUUCUCCUCCCCUGCUAUCGGCUAACCAUGGAACCCUGAAUCACUCCUUGGUUACAGGUUUCCUUUUUCUUUCCACCACUGUUCACACGACAUGUUUCUGUUUUUCUAGGUGGGACACUGGAACAGUGUGGGGAAGCUGUCUUAUCAUUUUCUCGGGAAGUCUGGAAUUAUCCCAAGGUGAGACAUGGUGUCUGGCUGAGCGAGCCACAGGUCCCCAUCUCCACGUCAGCAUGGAUAUGACUCAGUGCCAGGCAGGUUGUGCUUGUGGGUCAGGACACCCUCUCUCUGGAGCCUGCCUGGGCAGUCUCUAUUUCUGCCUUUUUAACCUUAAUGCUCUGGGUUUUCAUUCCCUGCUGUUCACAGCCCUUUGUGAAAGAGGGAACAAGAAAAAUGGUUAGGUUUCUGCUCAUUAAGCUACAAUCACAGUCGCUUCUCUCUGAGGUGGUACCCAGGGCACCUUGGGUAGAGUUCGGUGGCUCCUGUAUUCUCUGGUCAAAGUCUCUUGGUUCGGUCCUGUGGAUGGCCCAUCACAGUGUUUGUGGUGGUUUAAUCUCCAGACGACAGUCUUAUUCUUGUCUCUCCCAGUUCUAGGGCUCGUCCUGCCCUGAGAGGAAAAGCAGCUGUCAUUUCCUUUACAUCUGUGUGUGUAAUUGACAAGGAAAGCCAAGGAGGGAGUCUGAAGCUAGCUUUCAAUUCCUGCUUGCCCAGGCAGGGAGAAAACCAUCAGACAGGGGUGGCCCACUGAGCAGUGUUCCGUCAGGUCCAGUGCAACUUCAUUUAAGUCAGGUCCUUCCUGUUCGCACGCUCCAGGAGGCCUCAUAGCUGCUCCCUUGCUCCUCGGCCUGCCUCUGAAGGCAGGCGCUCUCUGUCCACCAACUGGCCAGUUCUGGCUGCUGCUCCCUGGGUGCUGGGGGUGCUGCCUUCUCUGCUUUGUAGGGUGAAGGGGGGAUUGUCCCUCUGCCUCCGUGGAGAGUGGGGAUCCUUCAUGCUGACACGGAGCGACCCCUGGGGAUGCUAGAAGCACAGCCUCGUUUCAUCCCCCCUGGAGGAUGUGUAGACAGCCUUGGACUUCCCUCGGGGUGUGGUGCUGGUGGUCAGGAUCCAGGAGAGCACGUCUGUGUCUCCAUCUCCAAGGAUACAACUCUGGUCCAAGCCACCUCUGCCUCUACGGGAACUACUCUCUGGAACUACUGUGUGGUUUUCUGAACUGGUUUCUCUGUGUCUCCCAGUCUUGCUUCUUUCUGUCCACUUUCCACCCCACAGCUGGCGUUCUAUAAAUGAGACCAUGACGCUUAAAAUCCUCCAGUGGCAUCCUCGCCUCAAACCACUCUGCCUUUGCUCAUGAAUUCGUCCCUGCCUCAGGCCCUUGGUCCUUGCUGUUCCCUCUGGCUGCAGAGUUGGUCACGUGUUUGGGUCUGUUUCGUUCUUCAGAUUUGUUCAAAUGUCCUCUCUUCAAGUAAAGCUUCCUUGAUCCUUAACUGUCACAUCCAUAACCCUACCUGGCCUGAGGUACCAUCUAUAACGUCAUCCUUUCUACGGUCAUCAGAGCACUGAUGAUCUGAACUCAUCUUUGUUGUGGUUGUGGCUGUUUUCGUUGUUCAUAUUCACAAAGGAAAGAUCUCGCUUGCCCGGUCGAGGACUGUUCUCCCAAUGCUUGUAACUCAGCAGCCACUCAAGAAAAUAUGUUGUUGAGUGAAUCUCUUUACAAAGCUCUAGGUUUUCAGCUAUUUAGCUGCAGCUUCUACAAUCAUUCCAAAGCCCCAUGCGGUCAGGAGUAUGACAAUGGAAAGAAGCUUCUUGAAAUCUUGUCUCUGUGGAGCUGAGGGUUUAGUUGUCUCUUGCAGGUCGGGGCAUCAGCAUCCUCAUCUCUGAUCGGAACAGUUUGAAAUGGACCAGACAAGCUCUGAUGAUCUUUCUGCUCUAAUUUUGAUGAUUUCAGUGUAAGAUCCUGUCUCUCCGGGGUCCUCCAUCCUCUCAGAUUCUGGAAUGGGAAUAAUAGCACACAGAUACAGAUGGCAUUCCAGUGGAGGCUGUGUAUUUAUGAGAUGGCUGUAUUGACUAAUCUUGCUUUUUUUUUUUGGUUUUGGAAAAAAGUUUCUCUGAUUUAGUUAUAAGUGUGAUUUAAAAAAGUUUAAAUUUUUUUUUGAGAGUAAGAGACUCAUGCGUGGGGCACAUCAGUGUUGCAUUGAAGAGUUGUGAGCCGCGUUCUUGGAGUGUGCCUGGCGGGGUCCCAUCUGGCCACAUAGGAGACGGAGCUGACUUCCCUCUUCUCCUCUCACAGGCCCGAACCUGUGGGGGCAGGAAGCUAAUUAUCACCUCCUAGGAUGCUUGGGGCCUCCUCGUGUCUUGAAAGGACUGUCCUCAUGCUGGUCCUCACAAAAGAUGAGACCCACUUGGACGAUUAUUUCCUUGGCCCCGUGCCUCUCUCUGUGCGUGAGAGCUUGAUGUGCCCAAACUUUGAUCAUGAGGCUCGUGCAGAGUUCAAUGUGGAGAGAAGUGUUGGCUGAGGAGGCCCCAAAGCCCCCCACCUGGUGGUUAUAAUGAAUGUGGGUGUCCACCCUGUGCUGAGUCCCUGCAGGGCUCUGGAAAAGGCCGCUGCAUGGAGCCCCCUCCCCACAGGUGUCAAGUCAAAGCGGGGAGUGUCACGCAUGCAAAACCUCUGCUUUACCAUGGCUCCUGUCGUCCCACCGGGCACUCAGCUGCCAGGAGGCUGAGAGGAGGUGGGUGUGGAAGGUCCAGCCUGUGUAGUCGAAGCCCUGGGAGGAUGGGGGGUGAGGGGUACCUGCCAAGAUGGAAGAUGCAGUGCCUUUGUCAGGACAGACUCAAGGCCCUCUCUCACCAAUGUGGAAACUCACACUUGGAGGGGCUGACCCUGUACUGUGCUCUGUGCCAGGCGAUCCACGCUCUCUGUCUCAUUUAGUCCUGAUGACAUCACGCAAAGCAGGAUUUUAGUUUUAAAUCACUAUUGCACAGAAAGUGCUCUUUUCAAAAGAUAAUUGUAUUGCCCAAAGUCACACAGUCAGUAUCUAGAGGGGAGACGUUCUGGUUUUCUUUUGCUGGUGACAGACAAUCACCAAACUUAGUGGUAGAAAAUGAUAGUCGUUUCUUAGGCUCACAGAUUCUGUGGGUCGGGACCUGGGGCAGAGCACGGGGGCAUCUCUGCUCCACCAGGGGCUCCAAUGACUGCAGGUGUUCUGGAAGGCUGGGCUCCUGGGACUAUUGCCAAGAGCACCUACACAUGACCUCUACAUGUGGCUUGGGCUCAUCCCAACACAGUUCCUGGUUUCUGGAGGAAGCACCCCAAGAGGGACCAUCAGAGACCAAGCAUUCCUAAAGACCAAAGCAGGAGGUACAAGGCUUCUCCUGACCUGGCAAGUCUCCUCGCAUCACUGCCUCCCUGCUCUAUGGCGGAAGCAGCCACAAAUCAGUCCCAUUUCACACGGACCCCACGGCUCCAUGGAAUGAGUGCCAAAGAAUUCAUGGCUGUGUUUUCAAACGGCCACACAGGAUUUGAAUCCAGGUCCCCUGACUCUACAGCCAUUGCCCUUCCCACUAGACAUGUUGCCUGGGUGUCGGAGGCAGUGUGUCCUGGGGGAGGCAUCAUGGAGAGGAUGUUUUCAACAUGGUUGCAUCACUAGGUCCCUAGGCCCUUUGAAAGAAAAUGCAGCCAGUAGCCUCAUGGAUUGGGAGGUGGAAUCCUGGAGUGACAGCCGGUGGCUCCACCUGUGCAGCUCUGAUGACCUGCUGCAGCUCUCGUGCCUUGGGUUUUCCUCUAUGAGAAGGGGACAGUCACAGCAUCUCCCAGCCCAUGUGUAGGAUUCAGCGCCCAGGGCAUGUGAAAGCCUGGAGGACUUUCCAACCCUCUCUGCAGACAGGAGGGAGGCCUCUGUAUCCACGAGGAGGUCCUGCCGCCCGGCCUUCAGCUGGCUGCUCGCAGACACACUCAGUGGGGAAGCCAGCCUUCCAGCCCCCCAGAAUCCCAGAAGCCUAAGCAGACCCCCUCUGACUAUGGGGUCUUUUUCUUCCUUGAUUAUCUACAAAUAUCGUGCGUAACAAUGUACAUAAAUGUUGUUCUUUUGCCAAUUCAUCGCCUCCUGGAAAGUGUGAUAAACAUGCAGUCACCAUAUCCUCUUGAAGUCUUGGCCCCACUGAGUACUAGGUGAGUAACCAUACAUAUGUCUUGCAGUCUCUUAGGACCCUAGUUUUCUGCAAAGCAACGAUCAGUGUCUCUGUUUCUCAAGAAUGUUAUGAGAUUCAAUGAGCUGAUAGGAAAAAGUGUUUUCUAAUCCGAUAAGUGUAAAAUAUGUUACAAGUUUUUGUUAAGAUCAUUUCCUCCAGCACUUAGCAAGCGGAGUGCUUCACCCACAGCAAGUGCUCAAUAAAUAUGUACACUUUAGCCUUGAUUUACUCCAGACCCCAAAUGAAGUUCGUGUCAGAAGGCGAUUGGAGCGUUCAUCUCCCGUCCUACUUGGGGAUACACAUCACGGAAGCCCUUCCGUAUGGAUUGGCCGCACUGUGCUUUUUUCAAGAAAAAAUAACUGACCGUCAGUUUAAUUGAAUAGCUGAGGACCACAGCCCCCACUCCAGGCUCUCGCUCCAGGGCCAAAUCGGUGCGGGAAGGACAGUCUGCGCCUGUGAUGGGGGCUCCUCCUCCAGGAGACUCUGGAGGCUGAAUAAAUUUUUGCAGCAACUCACUUCAUCCAUGAGAGACUCAAUAACCUUUAUCUAGGAAAUGCAUUGGAACAGUCCUCCACACAUCGGGCCUCUGCAGAAAGAGUGACCAGGACAAACUCGCGAGAGACCAGUCGUAGUACGGGGCCCAUUUCUGAAUGUUUUCCAUCGGCUCCAUUUUUAUUGUAAUCAAUGGCCCUGUGUUUUCAGCAGCAGGCGGUGUUAGGCUCCCGCUGUGUGCUCAGUGCUGUUUUAGACGCUACGGGGACCACAGAUAGAAGAAGCUGUCCGUGCAUUGAUGAGAGGCGUUUUGGCGUGUGUGCUGAGAAUCUUUCUGAGCACUACACUGACUGCACGUAAAGACCAGACCACGAGGCUGGGCACAGGUGUCAGGGCUGGGCUUGUGAAGAGGGAACAGCCCAGGCAGUCAGCGACUGAGUUGUGUUUAGUUCAAUUCCCUCUAACUAGCUAUGCAGCGUUGGGCAAGUUGCUUAGCCAGUGCGAGUCUCCUUGUCUUACCUGUUAAAUGGGCUCAAACAGAAGGAGAGAAUCCACUGGGAGCUGGAGAGUAAAGUUUCGAACUCAGCUAAUCCAGUAAACAGUUAUUGGGCUCCUUUGAAGGAAAGAUGAGAGGAAACUGCCUUGGAUGGUGUUUUGAUGAUCUGUUGCUGCCUAAAAAUCUGCCCCCAAACUUAGCGGCUUGAACAACCACCAUUUAAUGAUAUCCCACAAUUCCAUGGGUUGACUGGGUCUCAACUGGCUGGUUCCUCUACUGUAUGUCUUGAGAUUUCUCAUGAACUUGCCGUCAGAUGGGGCUGGACCCUCGGCCCCAUCUCUGCCUCCAUGUGGCCUCUAUCUCCAUGUGGCUUGUCAUCCUCGGGGUUCUCUCCGUAUGGCCUCUCUCUCUACCCUGGACUUUUUACAGGGUCAGCCUUGGGGCUCCACGUGGAGGAGUUGGAACUGGUCAGGCUUUCUCAAUGCCUGGACUCGCAAGUCUCAGGACGUCGCUUCCCCCACCUUCUAGUGGUCAAAGCAGUAACAGGCCCAGACCAGACUCCAGGGGAGGGGUGCAAGUUCUAUCUCUCGAGAGGAUUGCAGAGAGAUUUGGGGCAAUCUUAAGUGUCCCCAAGCACCAGCUCUGAGCCCUUCCCCAGCAGGCUUUUGGUGAUGGGGGAUGUGCAAGUCACAGUUUUGGAAGACCCAGUGCUGACAGGGAGGUGGGUGGAACCACCACCCAACAGGUGCAGCUCUGUGGCACGAAGGCCUUCAAAUUUGACUUUGUCAGGGCUGCUAGCGUUUUCUAGGCUUUCAAGGAUUUAUUCACAUAAACAAACCUCACAGGAGACAGUUGUGUGACCUAGACUAUUGAUGCGUUUAUCUACAAUGCUACAUUUACUUUUCCCUCAACAUAACGUCUGGGAGGCUGAAUUCUUCCUCAGACCAUUUCAGCCCUGGGCUCAGGCAAGGAGCAUAAGGAUUCCUGGGGAAAGUCUUAUUCAGGGUGGAAUAACGCUGCAGAACCAUCCCAACCUAGAGUCUCCUGGACCCUUCUCUGACUUGUGGCUUUUGCCCUCUCUUUUCCAAGGACCAUGUAGAUCCUGCUUCUGCUCAUAUUUUUUCUUCAGCUAUAUCAAUACUAUUGAUAAAGGUAUAGAUUAUCAUAUUGAGGCAAGUCUUGGUCAAAUUUGAACAUCGUAUUCUUUCUGCUUUGACUUGAGAGGAUUCAGACGUUUGAUGGUGACUCACAGAUAACUCAUGGCCCUCAUCCAGUGUCAGCUUCAUUAGAGUAACUCACUGCCAAGCUCAGGGAAUGGGUUAGGGCCGUGAGGGCUUCCUGUGCAUCACUGUGGGGGAGACGGGAGCUCCAACAACAAGCCACAGCCCAGGGUGAGUGUGAUAAGUGCCAGCACUUGACAAAUAUAGUGACAGUACAGCAUGCAAGAGGGACACAUUUGUUUCAAUUGGUCCAACCUGGGAGGACUUUAAUGAGGAUUGUAUGGAAGAGAUAUCUGGACAGAAUUAUGAAACCUGGCUUUUUGAGGGUUAUGGAAAAGGACAAAGAAAGCAGGAAGGUGGACUGACACAUGGCAUUUAGGAAACAUGGGUAGAUGAGUAUGAACUAUAAAGGGUCGUAGAUACUGAAGUUGUAACAAUUGGUGUGAUUAUUUGUUGCGUCUUGUUUUGAAUUUCCCAACUAAGGUGGAUGUUCCUUGAAGGUCGAGACCAUGUAUUAUACUGAAGUUUCUUGGCACAGAUUUUUAAAAAUAAGAUGAGAUAGCAAGGUGAUGGACACUCAAGGGGAGACAGAUGUGUAGUCGGCAGACUCAUGGCCCCCAAGAGGAGUCUAUGAUCUAAUUCCUAGGGCUGUAAAUAUGAUGAGAUGCCACAUCUAUGAAUAUGUUACCUUACAGGGAAAAAGGGACUUUGCAGAUAGAAUUAAGGUUAGUAAUCAGUGACUUUAAGAUAAGAAGAUUAUCCUGGAUCAUCUGGGUGAACUGAUUGUAAUUGCAUGAGUCCUUAAAAGCAGAGGGAGAAGGGGAAGUCAGAGAUUCAAAACAUAAGAAACACUCAACAAGCAUGUUGGCCUCAUGUGCCAAGGAAAUGGGACCUCAGUCCUACAACCACAAGAAACUGCCAAUAACCUGAAUGAGCCUAGAAGUGGGUUCUCCCCAUGACCCUCCAGACAAGACCCCAGGCUGGCCAACCAAUACCUUGACUUUGGUCUCAUGAGCUUCUGAGCAGAGAACCCAGUCAUGCUGUGCUGGAUGUCUGACCCACAGAAACCAUGAGAUAAUAAAUGUAUGCUGUUUUAAGCCACUAAAGUUGCUGUAAAUUUUUACAGUGGUGUUAGGAAACUAAUGGAGAUGACACGUUUUCUCCUCCUCCUCUGUCUCUUUCCCUUUUCCUCUUCUCCUCCUCUUGUCCAGCUGAGGUUCUCUGCAGCCUUCAGCGGGAGGCGGAUACCAGAGGAGUGUUGCCGUCUUACCUAGAAGAGACGGGCGGUGGAGGCAAGAUUGUUCAGGGAGUUGGGUUGAAUGUGGGGCUCGUGCCUGCUAAGCUAAGCUGUUGGAGACACCCCGGAAAUGGCUUCCUUCCACAGGAGGACUCCUGGGCUGCUUUCACGCCUUUAUCAGCUUGGGGUGCCUGAGCAGAAAUUGGCAUUCUGCAAGCUCAUCCUCGGCUCAUAUCUCAUCCUCCUUCCUCUCCUUUGCUUCUUGCUCACUGUGCAAAAGUUCCUCCCCACAGGGUGCCUUGAAGAUGAAGUGGAAUCGUCAUUCACACUUCCUUAAGAAAUCCCUUUUUUGGAGACUGUCUUAACUUGGUCAGAUUUUGAGAAUUAGCACUAACAUAUGGAUGUGUUUUAUUCAGUCCUGGUGGAGUUUGCAGACCUCCUCAAGAGGAAGUUUGUUAACUCCAAUGUUUUUUUCAUUACCCAGGUAUAGUAUUUUAUUUAUUCCUUUCUUCCUUUAGUUAGCAUUGGGAAGGUUUUUGUUGUUCUUCGCCUUUUACGAAACAAUCACUUCUCCAUUUGGUUGAUGCAUUCUGUAAGGCACAAAGCCAGCGCCUCUGUGAAGUCUUUCUUGAUUCGUGACUUGUCACUCCCACCUAUUUUUGUACGUCCCAUGGACAUCAUUCUUAUCAGGCCAUAUUGAGUUCUCGGUAGAUGUGUUCCCUCCCCUUCUGGAUUGAGGGUCCCUAUGUGUCUUGUCUCUCCAGCAUCCAGGAUAAUGGGGGAGCCCAGGGGCUGCUCGGUGAAAGGAUGGGAAAGGAGCAAUGAAUGCAGAGGCAGCCUGCUAAAACGCAGACAGAUGGGACCUGCCAGAUUGCAGAAAGCAGCUGCGUGUGAGGCAUAAAAACCAAAGCAGUUAAUUAAAAACAUUUUUAUUUGACCUGAUUAAAAAGAAGUAAAGGCUGUGAGACGUUUCUACUGAGGAAUUAAGGAGGAUAGGAGUCAAGUGGAGGGCAAAUAUGCACUCUGGGAAGGGGAGAGGCCAAGGAACCAGGAGUUCUCUGCUGGAGUCUUAGCAUGGCCACUGGCACAUGGUGACCUUGGGCCUUGGACUUUCCACCCAAGGUGACGAGGAUUUUGCAUUCCCUGAGGACUGAGAGCUCUUUCACCAGGCAUCGAUUGUGCUGGCUGAGCAGGCCAGGAAGAGCAGUCACUGUUAACACCGCGCCUGAGCUGGAUGGAGUCUAAUCCAGGAUCAAGGUAGGUGAAACAGAAAGUCAAGGCCCCACUAACAUUUCCUAGUUGCACAGUUAUUGUUUUGACCUGGGAGCAUGCCCACUAGGGUCUCCAAAUUCCUGUAUGGAGAACAAAUGCACAUUCCCGCAUUUAUCUUCGCUCCUUGGAACCCCUGUCCCUGUGUUUGCUGAUGUCCCUUUAGGGGGAGAAUGGGAACCUAACUUGGUUUUGCUGUGGUCCCUAGAAACUACAAAAGCCAGCUGGGUGGGAGCCAAGAGGGAGCCUCGCUUUGCAGAGGGUUAACAUAAAAACAGCCUUCCUCCUGAAAUUGCCCCCUUCCAUGACCCCAGGCAGAGAAUUCUCCCUCGGGAAGGACCUUACCCACCAGAGAACAAGUUGUUUUUCAGAAGAGGAAACCUGAGAUCUCCCCAAGGGGAAGCUAACCCAAGACCAGAGCAGCCAAGGUUUACUGCUUUUGUCUUUCUGUAGCAAAGCGGGUGCUUUGCUUUCUCACAGUGAAAUCUCAGUAGGCAAAGAAGCAGCUGAGAUUUCUGGUCUCUGCUUGGUGUGGCGGGCAGUAGACUGACAAAGGAUAUGGGAAGAUUUUGCUUUGCACUUAGUGCCUGGUGCUGAAGGGCCCAAGCAGAUGGAGAAAUACAGGUGACACUAAGGACAUCCCCACAACCAGGCCUGCAAGGUCUUUGUGAAGUAAAGUGCCUCGUUCCAAAGCAGGCUGGAGACCCAGUAGCUGACUAAGAACACAUGAGGCCAUGUACCCGGGAGCUCAGGAAUGCUUCUCUCCUGGAGAUCAGGGCUGCAUAGUCCCUGGAGAGCUUUCCUCCUAGAUGAAGGGAUGCUUCUUUAUGGGAUGGAGUAGUAGCAAGUCCUUUGGAAUUCAGCCUCUGCCGCUUAAUAGCCGUGUGACAUUGGCCAAAUUUUCUAGUCGAAGGUUCCUUACUUGACAACUUGGAAAAUGAACAUUUGCCCCAUUGAUUCGUUGUGAAGGUUGAAUUAUUUAACAUAUACAGGACUUCUUUAAUGGCCUCAGGUUAUCAGCUCUUGCCAGAUUUUCUCCCAGUUGCCAUAUGAAUGUUAAUGAAAUUACGCAAAAACAGUUCUGAAAAUAGGAGCAGUCACUGGUCACAACAUUUUGGGGGAAAUUUUCCUAACCGCAAUUCUGAUGAAGGAUUCAUCAGGUACUUACUGUCUCCUGGCCUCUUUUUCUUAUCAGUGCAAGUAGUUUAUAACCUUGUUUGAUAAUUAGCCUUCUACCCAUAAUUCUCAGCUUCUUUGGUGGCACGGGUUCUAUCCACUGUCUCCUCUGAAAGGGACGGUGCCAGUUGCUGGGGAAUAAGUAGGAAGAACAACCACUUCUCUUCCUAUUGUCUGCCCAUAGGUCAGAGAAAGACUCUGCUCCAACCAAGGAACAGCCAGGACUCUUUCCGAGGGGCAGAAGCUUGCCCACCAUCUCCUGCUUUCAUUGGAUCUAUUCUGCUCUUUCCAGAGUCUAUAAUUUGCAUAUACAACCUCACCAUUGUGCAUUGCAUCCUGGGGGCUGUUGUGGAAAAGGAUGGAGAAAGAUGUCUUCCUGUCUGUUGACUGAGAGGCCCAGAAGUCAUGACCAGCCCAGAAAGCGGUGGGCAUACCUAGAGUUAAGACUGUGACCUCUAAAACCAUUGACCACGGAGAGGAACCAGAGCUUCCUGGAGAAUUGGCAGAUUCCAGCUCUGGGGAAGAAAAGUUCAAGUAACAUUGGUUUAUAAAAUUUGCAUAUAUUUCAGG
ensembl:lncRNA